rnacentral:pre_miRNA from 1 species
AGUUGGAAGUGGGGAUCUAGGCACAGAAUUGCGUAAUUUUAAAACUGCAACUUCCAGAUAGUGCCAGAUCUAACUCUUCCAGCUCA